rnacentral:lncRNA from 1 species
GGCAGGUCUAGUCAUCAUCAGUCUAUUGAUUUGACCCAUUUAGACCCGACCAAAUUUAACCAACCCACUCAGUUGUUACCUGUACUUAUUAUUACAAAAAUAUUUUUAUAUCAAGCUCUUAAAUAAUUUUCCAAGUAAACCAUGACUUUUCCGUUCAUCUCAUAAAUUUGAUAUCCUUCACAGAUGACUCAUAUCACAAAACGGCUAUUAAAAUAUGAUAUUGUAAAGUCUGAUCCUCCAAAAUAAAAUAAUGGUAAAAAAUUGUUUGUUUUCUUUUUAUUUUGACAAGUUGACGAGCUGAUGUUAUUUUUAAUAAGGUAAACAAUCCAUUAAUAUGGGAAAGCCCCGUAUAUUAGCAGUAUACCAAACAGCAGAGAACCCACUAAAAAUAUGGCUAUGUACAAAAAUACCCAAUCAUCUAUACAAACUGGAAACUCAUGAGUACACCAAAAGAGAACUAAAGAUAAAAGGCUAUGCUAUCGACUUACAAAGUCAUUUUCUAACCCUUCAAACAGUCCCUUAUUUGUAUCUAUCUAUACAACCCAUAUAAGAGCUAACAAGGCAACAUCUCAUGCCCUAAGUCUUCUCUCCUCCUUCUACAUGCCCAGAUAUGUAAGAGCAGCUAUGUAAGCGCUUCUUUGAUAGUGCUCUGCAUCACCCACUGCACUUUUUACCAAUGCAGGACCACCCACCACAACUGCGACGCUUAAAUGCAACAUGAGAUGAUCUACAUUUUUCACUCGAAUGUUUGCACACAAAACACCAAAUGUCGUGAAGAAACGAACCUUAUUUGACACCCCGACAAACGUAUCAUUUGGUGCAGGAUCCCCAACAAUCUAUAGUAGUAAGAUUUGACUAUAUAUAGGCCAUCCCUCCUAAAACCUCACCCAUCUCCACAAGUGGUGUAUCAUUCAGUGUAAGGUGCUUGUGAAGCAGCUCCAAUAGAUGUUAAACUCGCUCAUUUCCCAAUCUUAAAAGUUUUUCCUAAACCUCAAAUUCUGAUAAACUUCCCCGUUAUGUAUCUUUCGGCUCUGUUGUACUGUCAUCUUUGGCACGACACUCUAAAAUUAGGGAAGCAAUACUUAAUAUCUGUCACCACACCAACUGUGUCUACAAAAAAUUAUACUCCCUCCGUUUCAAAUUAGAUGAGGUACUUUCCUUUUUAGUCUGUUCCAAAAUAAAUG